rnacentral:misc_RNA from 1 species
CAAACAUAACACUAGACUACAUAACAUAAUUGGUAUCCAUUAAUACAUCUAGGCAUUAAUAAUAUUAUGUUAACAUUACAAGCAUUAAGAUUUCAUCAGACAGUGCAUAUAGUUCCUACAGAGACAACUAAUAUCAGUGAAUAGAUUGCUUCCUUCAAACAUCUCGAAAUGACUAUACCCGAGAUGAGUUCCCCAAACACGAACACGACCACGACCAGAUUGCUGGCUCACACGGCCACCAGUCUGUCCCAAUCUUCUGUCCGAUGCUGGCCCAAAAUCAGGAGAUUGAUCUCGCGGUAGACCAACUUCAAAUGCCUCAAAAUGCCCAUAAUCUGUCAUUAG